CUAUUAACGUCAGUGCUGGCUGAGCAGUGGCUGGGAAGCGAGGCGUUUUGAGAAUAUCGGUAUUAUCGCGUCAUUUACUUGGAUUUAGCACCAGGACGGGACACAAGAAGGAGGAGAGGGCAAGGGAGAGUAUACCAAGAAACACAGGGGGAGUGCAGUCGAACAUUGGUGGACUAACCUCGGUGGAAGGCAGGGUGGAGGUUCUUCCAUGGCCCAAUAUUUACAACGCGGUUCAACGAAAGGUGUAUCAUUGAAAUCAACGGCUCCAACACACAUCAAAAUGUCGAGAUGGAAAGCAUAGCCUAACUACAUUAUAUUACAGUUUCUGAAUAUGACAAAUUUUCGCUUUCCAUCCAAAUAAAGAAA